rnacentral:lncRNA from 1 species
UGGAUUCCAAUCUCGCUUCUGAUUAAUAUAGGAAAUCAGAACCUCUUUGAUCACUGGGUUUUCUCCUCUGCAAAAUAAAGAUCUUUCUUUUGCAGGAUUAUGGUGAAGACGGGAAGGGCUCUCAUCUAGAAGGGAAGCCAGCAGGACCUUGCCACUAGCUGUCCUGCCCCCCUCAGCUGCUUGUGUUUCAUCUGGUGCUUAAUGGAGGCCCGCCUGAAGGAGGCUACAGGAGGACUAGCAUCUUUGCCCUUGUUCUUUCCAUUGCUCUGUGCAACAGAUCUUUGGUUGCUGAAACCCACAGUGGAAACAAAUGACUUGUCAAGGUAACUUCUGCAGCUGCUUGCCCUUGGCCUGAGCUCACCCUCUUGGCUGUGGCUUGCUUCGGGCUUUCUUAGCAUAUUAGACUUGGGCUUUGAAG